CUCUGGAGUUAUUACACUUUCCAGAUUGUGGCAAUGGACUCUGAUGAAUGGACCAACGGUAGAUUACGUCAUGAGGAGGCUGAGAGCCUGCAGGUGGGUGGGGCUCACACACACAAGCCCCAUGCAGUAUGCACACGUACACAGUACAGUGCUAGACGCUCAAGUAUCCACUGCAGCAUGUAGACUAGAUCUACUGUUGAUUGAAGCAUAGAUAGUAGAAGAAGUAAGGGAGUAAUCUCUCGAAACAUGUCUGUCGAUUCCUCUACUAUAUAUCUAUAAUUGAAGCAACAAUUUAAGAAAGGUAUGGAACAGCUGGUCCAGGUCUCCUUGGUGUCGUCCUUUCACUCCCUACACAAAGUACAAGUGUUUAAACAUUCUCGGUAUGGCUCCGUUGGUAUCAGCCGUAUCCGAGCUCAUUUAAAAGCUUGGUGUCUUCGUUGGCAUCAGGAAAACCUGCUCGUUAGUCCAUACAGGAGGCCGUUUCUGGAAACUAGGUGGACCAACGGCCUGGACGACAAUUUGGUGUGAUUAUGAGCUCAUUUCAAAGCUUGGUGUCUCCGUUGGCAUCAUUAUAAACUGGAAAUCCUGCUUGUUGGUCUAUGAGGUUUCCUGUUUCUGGAAACUGGAUGGACCAACGGCCUGGACGACAAUUUGGUGUGAUUAUGAGCUCAUUUCAAAGCUUGGUGUCUCCGUUGGCAUCAUUAUAAACUGGAAAUCCUGCUUGUUGGUCUAUGAGGUUUCCUGUUUCUGGAAACUGGAUAGACCAACGGCCUGGACGACAAUUUGGUGUGAUUAUGAGCUCAUUUCAAAGCUUGGUGUCUCCGUUGCAUCAUUAUAAACUGGAAAUCCUGCUUGUUGGUCUAUGAGGUUUCCUGUUUCUGGAAACUGGAUGGACCAACGGCCUGGACGACAAUUUGGUGUGAGCAAGCUUGCAUGGUGUCUCCGUUGGCAUCAUUAAACUGGAAAACCUGCUCGUUGAUCCAUAUAAGGUUUCAUGUUUCUGGAAACUGGGUGGACAAUUAAUGGCCUGAACGACAAGUAAGAAAAUAGUUCACGCACUUUCUUUUAAUGUGUUCCAGGUUGGUGUGAGCUUCAAAGCUUGCAUGGUGUCUCCGUUGGCAUCUUUAAACUAGAAAACCUGCUCGUUGGUCCAUAAGAUGUCCUGCUUCUGGAAACUAGGUGGACCAACGGCCUGGACGACAAGUAAGAAAUAGUUCACGCAGCUUGAAUGCAAUGUGUUCCAGGUUGGUGUCAGCUCAUUUCAAAGCUUAGUGUCUCUUGUUUGCAUCAAUUAAGGAAACUAGGUGGACCAACGGCCUGGACGACAAUUGGUUGUCAGAGCUUGGUGGCUCUCCGUUGGCAUCAUGCAGUUAUACUAAUAAACCUGGACGUUGGCCCAUAACCUUUUCUGUUUUGGAAACUGGGUGGACCAACGGCCUGGACGACACUGACAGGUGGGUAUCAGCUCAUUUCAAAUGCUGCAUGCAUGGUGGCUUUGUUGGAAACUCGAAAACCUGUUUCCUGCAUGGUCUAUCAGAAUAUCAUAUCCAGCCGGAAAUUGGAUAGACAACAGCCUAUACGACAGCUGCAUCUACAGACUCUAUUAUACAUCAGACUGAAUGAAAGCCUCACUGCGACUCUGUAUGCUGAAAUCUACAAUGACAUUAAGGAUUCUGUUUCCGUGUAGAGUAAGAGGCUGGCACGGGAUUCUUGUUGCUGUCAAUCUCCCAAAGAAAACUGUCUAUGUUCUUGACUCCCAGUCGCCAAUUCUCUCACCUUUUACUGAGCAGGCAACAUGCAUGCACAAGACAUUAAUCAAUUCUUAAGCAUGUGCAUUCGAUCACCUGCAAAGAUGGAUAUACAGUGUGUGAAGGUGGCCGCUCAGGAUGGAGUUGAAUGUGGCAUUCAUGUGAUACACAAUAAUUAUUAUGACAAUGGUCAAGUUUUCUGGACUACCUGCAUCAAAGCACCUGCAAAAGUCUGUAAACACUGCUGAAUUACGUGGAUUGAUCCUGUUAUCAUGCUACUCCACUCAACAAAGCCAAAAGACAUCUCACGGCGUCAGAAGGAGUAAAAGGGUUGCUAAUACAGAUCUGCAGACUGAUGAUGAUGCCAGUGUAUCUGUUAAGAAGACAGCAAAAUCGAAGCCUUAACUGCUAUUUUUACUUAACAUUAAUUGUAUAGCUUGUAGUAUAGAUCAGAAUGUUUAUUUUUUAUUGUAUAUAAUUAUGUGCAAUAAUAUAGUUACUAGUUUCCCUCA